GUCAUGGACGAGUUAGGCAUGAAGCACCAAAAAUGACAUCAAUUUUAAUAUCAACGUCGAUGGGAAUCCAGGAAAUGAAAAUAUCUCAUCAGAGAGGGGUCGAUGAGGACGCGCAGCACAAGUUUUCGGAUAUCUUGUUUUGCUUCUACACACCUUUUGGUCAGUGUGAAAUGUUGGAUUCCUGGGAAUGAUUCCUGCUGAAGUUGCUUGUAGGUAAGGAAAGGUAAAUGAAAUUAGAGAAGAGUAACCACUAUUGCUAAUUUUAAAUGCCUAGAAAAUGAUUGGUGUCUUCAUAGUCUUCCCAACUCAAAAU